rfam:Bacillus galactosidilyticus strain PL133 scaffold000062, whole genome shotgun sequence.
GGAAAAUUCGAAUAAACUAAGUGUAUAACCUCAAUAAUAUGGUUUGAGGGUCUCUACCAGGAACCAAUUAAAUCCUGAUUACAAAUAUUUCAUUUUGUAGU